GUUUGCAGUGCAUUUCACUCAUCCUCAAUGCUACUAGACCUAAUUUAUUAUGAAUCUAAGACAUAAAUAUGUGAAUUCUAUAUAUUUUAUAUUUUAUAUGUAGACUAACCAAUUUAGCAUAGCAGGUCUAUUGUUGAAAUUAUGUUUGUUGGUCAUUUUAAAUGUAUUUUUUUUCCCUCAUGCAUUUGCAGAAUUUGCUGUUGAUGGUGUGAAUUGCUCUUGUUUUUUAUUUGCUUGAGAGUUUGUUGUCAUUUUUCAAUCAUGUUCUUCUCAUGUUUCAGGAAAGGAGCUGAAAGAAAUAUCUGAUGAAGGAAUGGAGUUUGA
rnacentral:misc_RNA from 1 species